rnacentral:rRNA from 1 species
GAUGAACGCUGGCGGCGUGCCUAAUACAUGCAAGUAGAGCGCAGAAGGAGGGGUUUGCCUCGCUGGCUGAGUUGGGCACGGGUGUGUAACGCAUAGGUAACCUGCCUGGUAGCGGGUGAUAUCUGUUGGAAACGACAGCUAAUACCGCAUAACAGUAGAUGUCGCAUGAUAUUCACUUGAAAGGUGCAAUUGAAUCACUACUAGGUGGUCUUGCGUUGUAUUAGCUGGUUGGUGAGGGAAAGGCUCCCCAACGCGACGAUACAUAGCCGACCCUCAGAGGGGGACCGGUAACACGGGAAUGGAAAACGGGCCCGGACCCUACGGGAAGGAGCAGUAGGGGAACUUCGGCAAUGGGCGGAAGGCUGAACGAGCAACGCCGCCUGGGGGGAGGAGGGUCUCGGAUUGUAAAACUCUGUUGUGUUGGGAGAAAGAGUGUUAGAGUGAAAAGUUCACGUUGUGACGGUACCUUACCAGAAAGCGACGGCUAACUACGUG